GAGUUUGAUCCUGGCUCAGGACGAACGCUGGCGGCGCGCCUAAUACAUGCAAGUCGAACGGGCACACUUCGGUGUGUCAGUGGCGGACGGGUGAGUAACACGUGAGUGAUCUGCCCUCUAGUACGGAAUAACUCUGGGAAACCAGAGCUAAUACCGCAUGUGCUUGUAGCUUCAGUGCGGCAAGUAAAGAUUAAUCGCUAGAGGAGGAGCUUGCGGCGGAUUAGCUAGUCGGUGGGGUAACGGCCUACCGAGGCGACGAUCCGUAGCUGGUCUGAGAGGAUGACCAGCCACACUGGGACUGAGACACGGCCCAGACUCCUACGGGAGGCAGCAGUGGGGAAUCUUGGACAAUGGGGGCAACCCUGAUCCAGCAAUGCCGCGUGUGUGAAGAAGGCCUUCGGGUUGUAAAGCACUUUUAUCGGGAAAGAAACACGCAGGGCGAAUACCCUUGCGGACUGACGGUACCCGAUGAAUAAGCACCGGCUAACUCCGUGCCAGCAGCCGCGGUA
rnacentral:rRNA from 1 species